GACGAACGCUGGCGGCGUGCUUAACACAUGCAAGUCGAACGGAAAGGCCCUGCUUUUGUGGGGUGCUCGAGUGGCGAACGGGUGAGUAACACGUGAGUAACCUGCCCUUGACUUUGGGAUAACUUCAGGAAACUGGGGCUAAUACCGGAUAGGAGCUCCUGCUGCAUGGUGGGGGUUGGAAAGUUUCGGCGGUUGGGGAUGGACUCGCGGCUUAUCAGCUUGUUGGUGGGGUAGUGGCUUACCAAGGCUUUGACGGGUAGCCGGCCUGAGAGGGUGACCGGCCACAUUGGGACUGAGAUACGGCCCAGACUCCUACGGGAGGCAGCAGUGGGGAAUAUUGCACAAUGGGCGGAAGCCUGAUGCAGCAACGCCGCGUGCGGGAUGACGGCCUUCGGGUUGUAAACCGCUUUCGCCUGUGACGAUGCGUGAGUGACGGUAAUGGGCAAAGAAGCACCGGCUAACUACGUG
rnacentral:rRNA from 1 species